rnacentral:rRNA from 1 species
UACGGAGGGUGCAAGCGUUAAUCGGAAUUACUGGGCGUAAAGCGCACGCAGGUGGCUGAGUCAGUCGAUUGUGAAAGCCCUGGGCUUAACCUGGGAAUUGCAGUCGAUACUACUCAGCUAGAGUAUGGGAGAGGGUAGUGGAAUUCCCGGUGUAGCGGUGAAAUGCGCAGAUAUCAGGAGGAACACCGGUGGCGAAGGCGGGUCUCUGGGCCGGUACUGACGCUGAGGAGCGAAAGCGUGGGGAGCAAACAGG